rnacentral:rRNA from 1 species
UACGGAGGGUGCAAGCGUUAUCCGGAUUUACUGGGUUUAAAGGGUGCGUAGGUGGGUCUGUAAGUCAGUGGUGAAAUCUCCGAGCUUAACUCGGAAACUGCCAUUGAUACUAUAGGUCUUGAAUUAUCUGGAGGUAAGCGGAAUAUGUCAUGUAGCGGUGAAAAUGCUUAGAUAUGACAUAGAACACCAAUUGCGAAGGCAGCUUACUACGGAUUGAUUGACACUGAGGCACGAAAGCGUGGGGGAUCAAACAGG